rnacentral:rRNA from 1 species
AUUGGAAUGAUGGUGACCCAAACCCUCACCAGAGUAGCAAUUGGAGGGCAAGUCUGGUGCCAGCAGCCGCGGUAAUUCCAGCUCCAAUAGCGUAUAUUAAACUUGUUGCAGUUAAAAAGCUCGUAGUUGUAUUUUUGCGUUGACGGUUUGACCAUUUGGUUGGUUAUUUCGUUUUCGCUUUUGGGAAUUUCCCUUUUUACUUUGAGAAAAUUAGAGUGUUUCAAGCAGACUUUUGUCUUGAAUACUUCAGCAUGGAAUAAUAGAGUAGGACUUUGGUUCUAUUUUGUUGGUUAUUGAACCUUAGUAAUGGUUAAUAGGAACGGUUGGGGGCAUUCGUAUUUAACUGUCAGAGGUGAAAUUCUUAGAUUUGUUAAAGACGAACUACUGCGAAAGCAUUUGCCAAGGACGUUUCCAUUAAUCAAGAACGAAAGUUAGGGGAUCGAAGACGAUGGGGAUACCGUCGUAGUCCUAACCAUAAACUAUGCCGACUAGUGAUGGAG